rnacentral:rRNA from 1 species
UAGGGAAUCUUCGGCAAUGGACGAAAGUCUGACCGAGCAACGCCGCGUGAGUGAAGAAGGUUUUCGGAUCGUAAAACUCUGUUGUUAGAGAAGAACAAGGACGUUAGUAACUGAACGUCCCCUGACGGUAUCUAACCAGAAAGCCACGGCUAACUACGUGCCAGCAGCCGCGGUAAUACGUAGGUGGCAAGCGUUGUCCGGAUUUAUUGGGCGUAAAGCGAGCGCAGGCGGUUUCUUAAGUCUGAUGUGAAAGCCCCCGGCUCAACCGGGGAGGGUCAUUGGAAACUGGGAGACUUGAGUGCAGAAGAGGAGAGUGGAAUUCCAUGUGUAGCGGUGAAAUGCGUAGAUAUAUGAAGGAACACCAGUGGCGAAGGCGGCUCUCUGGUCCGUAACUGACGCUGAGGCUCGAAAGCGUGGGGAGCAAACAGGAUUAGAUACCCUGGUAGUCCACGCCGUAAACGAUGAGUGCUAAGUGUUGGAGGGUUUCCGCCCUUCAGUGCUGCAGCAAACGCAUUAAGCACUCCGCCUGGGGAGUACGACCGCAAGGUUG